rnacentral:lncRNA from 1 species
UGGGCACAGAGAGUCACCAACACCAUCACCUGAACCUUCAAAACCUACUUCACCAACGACAUCACCAUCACCAUCUCCUGAACCUUCAGAACCUACUCCACCAGCGACAUCACCAUCACCAUCUUCUGAACCUUCAGAACCUACUUCACCGACAACAUCACCAUCACCAUCUUCCGAGCCUUUAGAAUCUACUCCACCAACAACAUCACCAUCACUAUCUCCCGAGCCUUCAGAACCUACUUCACCGACAACAUCACCAUCACCAUCUCCUGAGCCUUCAGAACCUACUUCACCAACAACAUCACCAUCACCUGAAUAUAACUCAUCAGAACCGUCACCAACCCCAUCUCCAGAGUCAGAGCCUCAAUCACCAACAUCAACACCUUCUCCUGAAUCUCCUCUCUCAUCACCAACUUCACCAACUCUUGAACAAUCUCCAUCACCACCAGGCCAGUCACCUCCUCCCACAACUCCUGAACAAUCUC